rnacentral:piRNA from 1 species
UAGCGUGCCUUCACCCCAUCUCGGGC